UACACCUGCGCAGUAGGCCUCCGGUCGCCGCUCCCCUUCCCCGGCUCUAGCAGGCCGGCUUCUCUGUCCAAUGCCCACCCGGAGCUGGGAGGAGGAGUCUGCGUAGUGUGCGUGUGAAGAGACUGGGGGAGCUGGCCGGGGCUCGCGGUGUUUGACCCGUCGGUCGUGCGUGAGAGGAAAGGGAAGGAGGAGGUCCCGAAUAGCGGUCGCCGAAAUGUUCCGGUGUGGAGGCCUGGCGGCGGGUGCUUUGAAGCAGAAGCUGGUGCCCUUGGUGCGAACCGUGUGCGUCCGAAGCCCGAGGCAGAGGAACCGGCUCCCAGGCAACUUGUUCCAGCGAUGGCAUGUUCCUCUAGAACUCCAGAUGACAAGACAAAUGGCUAGCUCUGGUGCAUCAGGGGGCAAAAUCGAUAAUUCUGUGUUAGUCCUUAUUGUGGGCUUAUCAACAGUAGGAGCUGGUGCCUAUGCCUACAAGACUAUAAAAGAGGAUGAAAAAAGAUACAAUGAAAGAAUUUCAGGGUUAGGGCUGACACCAGAACAGAAACAGAAAAAGGCCGCAUUAUCUGCUUCAGAAGGAGAGGAAGUUCCUCAAGACAGGGCGCCAAGUCAUGUUCCUUUCCUGCUAAUCGGUGGAGGUACGGCUGCUUUUGCUGCAGCCAGAUCCAUCCGGGCUCGGGAUCCUGGGGCCAGGGUACUGAUUGUAUCUGAAGAUCCUGAGCUGCCAUACAUGCGACCUCCUCUUUCAAAAGAACUGUGGUUUUCAGAUGACCCAAAUGUCACAAAGACACUGCGAUUCAAACAGUGGAAUGGAAAAGAGAGAAGCAUAUAUUUCCAGCCACCUUCUUUCUAUGUCUCUGCUCAGGACCUGCCUCAUAUUGAGAAUGGUGGUGUGGCCGUCCUCACUGGGAAGAAGGUAGUACAGCUGGAUGUGAGAGACAACAUGGUGAAACUUAAUGAUGGCUCUCAAAUAACCUAUGAAAAGUGCUUGAUUGCGACAGGAGGUACUCCAAGAAGUCUGUCUGCCAUUGAUAGGGCUGGAGCAGAGGUGAAGAGUAGAACGACGCUUUUCAGAAAGAUUGGAGACUUUAGAAGCUUGGAGAAGAUUUCACGGGAAGUCAAAUCAAUUACGAUUAUCGGUGGGGGCUUCCUGGGUAGCGAACUGGCCUGUGCUCUUGGCAGAAAGGCUCAAGCCUUGGGCACAGAAGUGAUUCAGCUCUUCCCUGAGAAAGGAAAUAUGGGAAAGAUCCUCCCCGAAUACCUCAGCAACUGGACCAUGGAAAAAGUCAGACGAGAGGGGGUUAAGGUGAUGCCCAAUGCUAUUGUGCAAUCCGUUGGAGUCAGCAGUGGCAAGUUACUUAUCAAGCUGAAAGACGGCAGGAAGGUAGAAACUGACCACAUAGUGGCAGCUGUGGGCCUGGAGCCCAAUGUUGAGUUGGCCAAGACUGGUGGCCUGGAAAUAGACUCAGAUUUUGGUGGCUUCCGGGUAAAUGCAGAGCUACAAGCACGCUCUAACAUCUGGGUGGUAAGUGUGCUACAGCAUGACCAGGCAUAGUUCAUUCUCCCUAGCCUGUGAACAAGUCUGCCUGGUGGUGUGCUAAAGCUCAUCAACAGCGUAACCAAAUAGGGUCAGAGUGUUUAGAGGCUGAGGGUACAGAAUAGAAACGUGUGAACUGCUUGAUUCAGAAGACCAGGUAUGGCCUCAUCUGCGAGCUAGUGGCAGAUGAAAUGAACAGUGUGCAUGCCUGCAGGGGUAGAGCUCUUCCGGUUCUACUUAUUGGCAGCAGCUACUGGCAUAACCCCUGGUGGGCAUGCACAUAGUCUUCAGAUGGAUCUGCUGUUCCCUUUGCUCAAACGUGAAUCCGGAGGAUGGAGGAUGAAGCAAUUUUAUAACCUGUUCCCUAGAAAGGAAAAUUACUCUGUUUUCAUUUUCCUUGAGUACUAUUUUUAGCUGUUUUUUACAAUCUAUUGUGACACAAACAAGACUAUAGUAUGUAGGAACCAUGAGGUAAUUUCCCCAUUGCUAGUUACAAGUGUAUUGUGUUUGUUUAUGGACUCUGCAACUAAGGACGUAGGUACCUUGGAGGAAUUUUUUCCCCCUCCAAACCUUGCUUUAAAAAAAAAAAAGAUGUACUAGAUUUUUUUAACCUGUUAUAAAAGUAAUAUGUGGGCCAGGCGAAGUGGUUUACGCCUGUAAUCCCAGCACUUUGGGAGGCUGAGGCAGGUGGAUCACUUGAGAUCAGGAGUUUGAGACCAGCCUGGCUAACAUGGUAAAACCCUGUCUCUCCUAAAAAUACAAAAGUUAGCCGGGUGUGGUGGCACAGGCCUGUAAUCCCAGCUACUUGGGAGGCUGAGUGAGGCAGGAGAAUCGCUUGAACUAAGGAGGCAGAGGCUACAGUGAGCGGAGAUCAUGCCACUGCCCUCCAGCCUGGGCAACAACAGAGCAAGACUCAGUCUCAAAAAAGAAGAAAAAAAAGUAAUAUGUGGUCAGUGUAGAAGACAGACAAGAAGGAGAGAGGAGAGGAAAGUCACUUGCAGCAACCAUUAAUAUUUUGGUGUAUUUCCUACCCUUUGUUUCCUUGCAUGUAGGUUUUAUUGUUGGUUUGUUUUAUUCGUGGCAAGCAUACUAUAUAUAAUAUUCUGCUCUUUUGCACUUAACACCAUAAAGGUUGCUUUGGGGGAGUCUAAAUAGCCACAAAGAUGAACAAAGCGUUAGAGAGCUCAAAUACCGCAUCCUUCGUGAAGCUGGCCCAGUUCACCCCCGGCUGGAGGUUCUCGCCCUCUGCUUGAAAUACUUGACUCCUUUAAUCUGUACCUCUCAUAUGGCACAUUACUGUUUACAUUGCUCUGUAGUUAUGAGCAAGGCUGUAUCUUUCUGUACUAGGUUGUAUGCUCCUCAUAGUCAAGGUCCAUGUCAGUUUUGUCUCAGCAACCCGGACAACAUAAUACUUUUGUAUAUAAUAAGUACUCCAUAAAUAUUUGUCGAAUGAAUGAAUACUGAAUGACAAAAAGAAA